rnacentral:rRNA from 1 species
UACGGAGGGUGCAAGCGUUGUUCGGAAUCAUUGGGCGUAAAGCGGGUGUAGGCGGCUUGGCAAGUCGGGUGUGAAAUCCCGAGGCCCAACCUCGGAACUGCAUUCGAAACUGCCUGGCUAGAGACCCGGAGAGGGUGGCGGAAUUCCAGGUGUAGGGGUGAAAUCCGUAGAUAUCGGGAGGAACACCAGUGGCGAAGGCGGCCUCCUGGACGGUGACUGACGCUGAGACGCGAAAGCGUGGGGAGCAAACAGG